GAAAAGAUCAGUUGGGAUGAAAAAGAAAGGUCUAGUUUAAGCUCAAAUCAUUUGGAUAAAAGAAGAAUUAAUUUCAUUUGGUUUUCCUUUUAUUUAGGCUCAAAAUGGCUAUUAUUGAAUAAGAGUCUAUGGUUCUUUCCUAAUUGUUUAUUACAACUUACUUUUAGCACGACUAACCAGACAAGUUCUAGCUCAAUACAAAUAGUGGAUUAUCCAAAUCUUUCUCACACUUACUUGACAUCUCAUUACUCUACCAGAUUAUCACACACCUAGUUCGAAUUUUAGACUUAGCAUCAUGCAGUGGUGUACCUCUAUG
rnacentral:misc_RNA from 1 species